UACGGAGGACGCGAGCGUUAUCCGGAUUCAUUGGGUUUAAAGGGUGCGCAGGCGGCGCGUUAAGUCAGCGGUGAAAUGCGUGGGCUCAACUCACGGAGUGCCGUUGAUACUGACGCGCUGGAAUGCGGUCGAGGCGGGCGGAAUGUGGCGUGUAGCGGUGAAAUGCAUAGAUAUGCCACAGAACUCCGAUAGCGAAGGCAGCUCGCCAGGCCUGCAUUGACGCUCAGGCACGAAAGCGUGGGGAU
rnacentral:rRNA from 1 species